GAUGAACGCUAGCUACAGGCUUAACACAUGCAAGUCGAGGGGAAACGACAUCGAAAGCUUGCUUUUGAUGGGCGUCGACCGGCGCACGGGUGAGUAACGCGUAUCCAACCUGCCCAUCACUUGGGAAUAACCUUGCGAAAGUAAGACUAAUACCCAAUGAUAUCCCACGAAGGCAUCGGAAUGGGAUUAAAGAUUUAUCGGUGAUGGAUGGGGAUGCGUCUGAUUAGCUUGUUGGCGGGGUAACGGCCCACCAAGGCAACGAUCAGUAGGGGUUCUGAGAGGAAGGUCCCCCACAUUGGAACUGAGACACGGUCCAAACUCCUACGGGAGGCAGCAGUGAGGAAUAUGGGUCAAUGGGCGAGAGCCUGAACCAGCCAAGUAGCGUGCAGGAAGACGGCCCUAUGGGUGGUAAACUGCUUUUAUAAGGGAAUAAAGUGGGUCACGUGUGACUUUUUGCAUGUACCUUAUGAAUAAGGACCGGCUAAUUCCGUG
rnacentral:rRNA from 1 species